CCUUUGGAGCGUUAUACCAAACGAGAGUAGUUUUGUGAACGAGCGUAAGUGAGUGAACAGCAAAAUCGGACGCGAUGAAUUAGGAA
rnacentral:ncRNA from 1 species